UGGGGAAUAUUGGGCAAUGGGCGCAAGCCUGACCCAGCAACGCCGCGUGAAGGAAGAAGGCCCUCGGGUUGUAAACUUCUUUUAUCAAGGACGAAACAAAUGACGGUACUUGAUGAAUAAGCCACGGCUAACUACGUGCCAGCAGCCGCGGUAAUACGUAGGUGGCAAGCGUUAUCCGGAUUUACUGGGUGUAAAGGGCGUGUAGGCGGGACUGCAAGUCAGAUGUGAAAACCAUGGGCUCAACCCAUGGCCUGCAUUUGAAACUGUAGUUCUUGAGUGUUGGAGAGGCAGGCGGAAUUCCGUGUGUAGCGGUGAAAUGCGUAGAUAUACGGAGGAACACCAGUGGCGAAGGCGGCCUGCUGGACAAUAACUGACGCUGAGGCGCGAAAGCGUGGGGAGCAAACAGG
rnacentral:rRNA from 1 species